UGUGGAAUAUUGCACAAUGGAGGCAACUCUGAUGCAGCGACGCCGCGUGAACGAAGAAGGCUUUCGAGUCGUAAAGUUCUUUUAUAUGGGAAGAUAAUGACGGUACCAUAAGAAAAAGCCCAGGCUAACUACGUGCCAGCAGCCGCGGUAAUACGUGGGGGGCUAACGUUGACCGGAAUCACUGGGCGUAAAGGGUUCGCAGGCGGAAAUGCAAGUCAGGUGUAAAAGGCAGUAGCUUAAAUACUGUAAGCAUUUGAAACUGCAUAUCUUGAGACGAGUAGAGGUAAGUAGAAUUUUUUGUCUAGCGGUGAAAUGCGUAGAUAUUAAAAAGAAUACCGGUGGCGAAGGCGAAUUACUGGGCUCAUUCUGACGCUGAGGAACGAAAGCGUGGGUAGCAAAGAGG
rnacentral:rRNA from 1 species